AUAAAUAACCCCAAACACACAAACUACUCCUAUAAACAAACCAUUUUUCCCCCUUAGUAUGGGCGACAGAAAAGGAACUAUUGGAGCGAUAGAGAAAGUACCGCAAGGGAACGCUGAAAGAGAAGUGAAAUAACCCAGUAAAGCCUAAAAAAGCAGAGAUUCUACCUCGUACCUUUUGCAUCAUGAUUUAGCCAGUAAUACCCAAGCAAAGAGAACUUUAGUUUGGGCCCCCGAAACUAGGUGAGCUACUCCAAGACAGCCUAUUAAUAGGGCAAACCCGUCUCUGUGGCAAAAGAGUGGGAAGAGCUUUGAGUAGAGGUGACAGACCUACCGAACCUAGUUAUAGCUGGUUGCCUGAGAAUUGGAUAGGAGUUCAGCCUCCAGACUUCUCCAUUCGCCAUGGUCUUACCCCUACCGAUACCCUAAAGAAGUCUAGAGAGUUAAUCAAAGGGGGUACAGCCCCUUUGAGACAAGAUACAACUUUCCCAGGAGGGUAAAGAUCAUAUUUACCCAAGGUAAUAAUGCCCAGGUGG
rnacentral:rRNA from 1 species